rnacentral:tRNA from 2 species
GCGGGUGUAGCUCAAUGGUAGAGCCCCAGCCUUCCAAGCUGGUGGUGAGGGUUCGAUUCCCUCUACCCGCUCCA